UCUCUUUCCAUGGUUCAUUUUGCAUAUCAUAAAUCCCUGCAUUUUUUGCAUAAACUACUAAACAAUUCAGUAUUCCUUUAUCCAUCAAAACUGAUUUACACUGUUGAAUUUAUCUUAACGCUGCCAACGUUUUCAAGUGUACACAAUUCCCCCCCCCCCAUAUAUUCAAAUAAACAUUUUCCAAUCUUCUUGUUAAAUGUUCGGAAAAGUCAGAAGCCCAAGGCAGUAUAAGUUCCUCAACUAAGUUUAUUCAACAUUUGUCAGUGACAACAGCUCACUCAUAGGAACACAAGAACCAAACUGACUGGACAACACAAUAAUAAAUUUGAGCGUGAACUGACCGUUGACAGUUGAAAGUGCAUGCGCUUACUUGCCAUUAGAACAUUCGUCUACCAACGUUUAUACGAUUGGUUACAAUGCGCCUUGUAACAUGUGUUAAACCCAAUGCAUAACACUUCUCUAAACGUAUGUUCUUCUUGUUAUCUUCUUCUAUAUGUUCAGUCCGCCAGCUGCAUGUAUUCCAUCAGCUUAAGUUGCCGUUCUUCUUUCGUUGGGACCUCACUGGUUUUGCAGAAAUAUAUACAACAACAAAAUUAAUCAAUUUGAGUCGUGGUAGACCCCAAAGUUUUAAGCAAUGUGGACUAGCGUCGCUUAUGUGACUCUUAGGAGCCCUGAAGCUUAAGCUUCAUUAGUUUUAUACAGGGCCAAAGCGUGGGGGGUGCUGGGGGGGGAGCCAUGGCCCUGGGCACACAAUUUUUGUGGGGGCGCAAACCAGGCAUCACCAGUGUGGCCCAACUCAGUGUCAAGGGCCACAUUGGCCGGCCGGGCCCCCACCCCAUCCUGGCACACACAAACCCCACCCAAUGCCCGCGCACCCAUCCCAGGCACUGACAACCAAUGCUACGCUGCUGAUUUCAUAAAAAGUUCACCCCUGCUGGCUUCUUAUAGCAGCAGAGAUGUACCAGGGAGUAGCUCCUCUACAAGACGGUGGCAAGGAUAUGCCACCUUAGAUCAUGGGUAGGCAAACUAAGGCCCGGGGGCCGGAUCUGGCCCAAUCGCCUUCUAAAUCCGGCCCGCGGACGGUCCAGGAAUCAGCGUGUUUUUACAUGAGUAGAAAGUGUCCUUUUAUUUAAAAGGCAUCUCUGGGAUAUUUGUGGGGCAUAGGAAUUCGUUUCCAAAAUACAAUGGUACCUCUGGAUGCGAACGGGAUCCGUUCCAGAGCCCCGUUCGCAUCCUGAAGCGAACACAACCCGCGGGUCACGAUUCGCCACUUCUGCACAUGUGCGUGACAUCAUUUUGAGCAUCUGAGCAUGCGCAAGCGGCGAAACCCGGAAGUAACAUGCUCCAUUACUUCCAGGUCUCCACAGAGUGCAACCUGAAAAUGCUUAACCCAAAGCUACUUCAACCCAAGGUAUGACUGUAUAGUCCGGCCCCCGAAAAGGUCUGAGGGACAGUGGACUGACCCCUGCCUUAGAUGAUGUAGCAGUAGCAGCCAGAAUCACUAACUACUGCAUUCUCUCAGGGGCUUCUCACCUCCUAGAGAACUCUAUAGUGUGAACCGGAGCUUUGGCUAUAAAGAAUUUAUUCGAGUAGCAGAUCUAAAAUGGAUUGUGGAGAACAGAACCGUUUGCAAACAUGCCCCAGAUCUUCUCUGUGAGGUUGCUUCUGCUUCCAGCUGGAACAGAGGUUCCAGUGUGGCACAGGGUAGAAUUUUAAAAGUCUUCUUAAAUAACUGAGUGUGAGCUGCAUGCUUUCUCUGUGUGAGUGCAGUUCCAAUCUCAGUCCACUGAAGUCAAUAGGUAAGCUCGGCCGAGACAGGAUUCCACCCUGUGUGAGUUACAUGCAUGUCAAAACAGUGUAUGGGAACAUCAGGCUCCGAGUCUAUAAAUAUUGGAUUUGUGUAAAUAGAUACAGAUGGGCUGCUUGAUACAAGGAAAUACUGACAAGCUAACAGGUAUUAGGGAAAAGAGAGUCCAGGAAGCUGACACAUGAAUAAUCCCAGAAAGUGCAUAGCACAGAAUUUUAUAAAAGCUUUCUUUUGAGGAGGAGGAGGAGAUGGAUGGACUAUUUUUUAAAUAAAUGAUUUAUAAUAAAACUUCAGCAUCUCAUUAUUGAGGAUGAAAUGACAGACUCAUAGAAUUGUGGAGUUGGAAGAGACCCAUAGGAUCAUUUUGUCCAACCCCCUGCAAUGCAGGGAUCACGGCUAAAUCCACAGCAGCUAUUGUGUUCUUGUUGAUCUUAAAAUAGUUGAGGAAAGGAAUAUGCCUUCAGGAAAUUUUUACAUGUGCCCAAGGAGCUCUUCAGUUCUAAUUUAAUAGGACAAGCUAUGGUGUUAUGUACUGAGCUGAAUCCUAGAACAAUAGGAUCCAGAAUGCAGCAGUCUGAUUGGUCCACAGGAGCCACCCAAUCCAGCUCCAGGUGGAAGUGAAUCAGCAAACUGAUUGGCCUGCAGGAUCAGCCAAUCAGGCUUCUGGAGGAAGUGAAUCCGCAACCCGAUUGGCCCGGAGCAGCCCAGAAUUAGCCAAUCACAUGGGGCUCAUUGUGUAAAUAAUGUAUAUAUAGCUAGACGUUUUGGGGGAAGUUUCAUUCAUUGCUACUUCGAGCUGAAUCAAGAGCAUGAAAUUCACACUUGACUCCAAGUAUAUCUCGGAGGGAAAAGCACUUUGCACAUGAUCAGGAUUCUGAAGACGGAAAAUGGCCAUUCCACUGAAGAAGACAUGAGGCAUGGAUCUGAUUUUAAGCAUUCAACUUGCAAUCAUAGUAAUGAUUUCACUACUGAGCCCAAACGAGACCUGGAAUAUAUUAUUCCAUGAUACAGGAGAAAACAUUCAUAGCCAAGUGUCUAAAUUUGGAGGGAGCGGCGUCAGUCACUUUUUCAUUAUUUUGUUAUAUUGUCUUACUAUUGAUACCCUCACCUUUCCCCAUGAAAACAGGACAGCUUCCAACAUUCAAUAUAAAGAAGAACAUAUCAAACAGCUCCACGUGUCAACCAAUGAAACAGCGUAGUGAUCAGCAAAACAAGGGGGAGAACCAAAGGCAACGAUGCAGAAUGAAGCCAUAUUUCAUCUUUUGAAAAGAGGAUGCACUUCAAAGCCAGAUCUGUGCUUUUGACGGGGAAACGGUGCCCAGCUAAGUGCAGCUGCGCAUGUGAUUCAUGGCAGUAAUGCGCAGCGAUCAUUCAGAAACUCUUAACCACAGUGCCAAGACACGAAAGAACCUGUGAAGUGUAGUAGUUCGGAUGUCCAAAAGUGAUAUACAAUUGAAAGGGGUCUCAAACAAAUGGGGCCCUGCAACAAAGGGUUGCAGCAUGGCACACUCCCUAACCAGCAGCUAACUAAUUGGCAGCCAGUACACAAAGGUCCAUAGAGUUAAAGCUAUGGUUUUCCCAGUAGUGAUGUAUGGAAGCGAAAGCUGGACCAUAAAGAAGGCUGAUCGCCGAAGAAUUGAUGCUUUUGAAUUAGGGUGCUGGAGGAGACUCUUGAGAGUCCCAUGGACUGCAAGAAGAUCAAACCUAUCCUUUCUUAAGGAAAUCAGCCCUGAGAGCUCACUGGAAGGACAGAUCCUGAAGCUGAGGCUCCAGUACUCAUGAGAAGAGAAGACUCCCUGGAAAAAACUCUGAUGUUGGGAAAGAUGGAGGGCACAAGGAGAAGGGGACGACAGAGGACGAGAUGGUUGGAUAGUGUUCUCGAAGCUACCAGCAUGUUUGACCAAACUGGGGGAGGCAGUGGAAGACAGGAGUGCCUGGCGUGCUCUGGUCCAUGGGGUCAUGAAGAGUCGGACACGACUAAACGGCUAAACAACAACAACACAGUCAGGUCAGCACUGAUGUUAUAUGCUCAAACCAUUGUUCUGGUGAGCAACCUCACCGUCAAAUUUUGCACCUGCUGAAGUUUCCGAACCGUCUUCAGAGGCAGCCCCACACAGAAUGCAUUGCAGUAAUCCAACCUAGAGGUGGCCAGAGCUUAAGCCACAGAAAUUAGACUAUCCCUGUCCAGAUAGGAAUGUAGGUGGGCCACCACUCCGUGCCACCAAGGCGACCUGGACCUUAAGCAACAGCAACAGAUCCAGGAGCACCCCCAAGCGACAUACCUGCUCCUUAAGAGAGAGAAUAACCCCCUCAGGAGCAGGGAACCUCCAUCCAUGCCACUCACAGAUUAUCUGUCUUAUCUGAUUAUGCUUCAGUUUAUUGGCUCUCCAUGAAGUCCAACAACAUCUGGAGGGAGCUACGUUGACUUCCGCUAGUGUAUGCAUUAGCGUAGAAACAAAAAUAGGCUGCAUUCUACAUUGAAUGGACAAAUGGUGACGCUAUUAGAUCAUCCGGGGACUAGUUAGUAUGCUGGCCCUGUGCAGAUCUUCCAUUCCGACAAACGCUUGCCUGAGCGGCGUUUGCCAAUGACUGUCAACAAUCGAAUGAAUUAUAGAUGAUGUUGGUAAACAAAAUGCUGCCGUGAUGAACGACGAGCUGCGCCAUUAUGACACCACGGCUAAGUCAUUCAAAGUGCUGAUUAAAGCCAUUACAGUAAAAUAAUCACCAUCCAUUACCUUUUAGUAUUGGGAACUGACAACGUAGUUAUGUCAGCUGACGGUGUCAGCAAAACAUGAUUUGUUGGGCCGGGUGUCCAAUGGUGAUAAAUCACGUCAGUAAAUCAAUGCACCCAAGCGAUGAAACAAUACAUUUUCUUUUCCCUUUUUCGUGGCACUGAGUUGCAAAAGAGGUACGAGGAGUUAUUCUUAAACACUGACACCGCAAGAGAUGGCUUUUGGGAGUCAGUAACCUUCAUUAUUUUAUUUAUCAAUUUAGAGCAAAUGUUGCCCAUUUUGUUUUCUGCUUCCUCCUCCUUGAAUCUCUUCCCUUUCUUUCAGUGUUCUCAUAUAUUCAGGUUUAGCAGUAGAACAUCCAUCAUUCUUCCUUGGGGUCAUUUUGCUCAGCGGUUGUGGAAGCAAUUCCCACCCGCAUUUAUUUAACUAAAGCAUUUUUACUCACCCUGUUCAGUCAGAAAGGUUCCCUUUAAGAAAGACAGUCAGUAGAAAAACAGUCCCUGCCUGUAGGCUUAUUAUCAAAAAGAAAUGGCAUAAAAGGAAAAAAGGCAUGAGGACGGAAGACGAAAGCAAGCAAACAGGUGCCAGUUCUUAAACAUAAAUAGCAGGGUUCCGUUGUUGUUGUUGUUGUUGUUGUUGUUGUUGUUGUUGUUGUUGUAAUUAUUUUGUUUAUACCCCACUCAUCUGGCUGGGUUUCCCCAGUCACUCUGGGCCGCUUACAGCAUAUAGAUAUAUAAAAACAUAAUAAAACACCAAACAUUAAAAACUUCUUGAUACAGGUCUGCCUUCAGAUGUCUUCUAAAAGUCAGAUAGCUAUUUACUUGACAUCUAAAGGGAGGGUGUUCCACAGGGUGGGUGCCACUACAGAGAAGGCCCUCUGCCUGGUUCCCUGUAACUUCACUUCUCACAGUGGGGGGACUAGCAGAAGACCCUCGGAGGGGGACUUCUGUGUCUGGGCUGCCCAAUGUGGGUGGAUAACCAGCUGGAAUGGAGAUAAUUCAGGGAAAAGAGAAGUCAAAUGGAGCUGGACUCUCAGUAGUGCUGAAAAGCAUGGUCCUGGUUCCUAUCUAUCUAUCUAUCUAUCUAUCUGCUGCAGCCAGAUGGAAUAGCUGCUGCCAUGCAACAGGUGAUGGAGGGCAGAGCCUGAUACAACAUGUAUUUAGGGAGGGCUGAUGGAAUGCUCUUGCUUCCCUUCUUUCUCUCUCCUGAUCCAGCAGAGCUCUUCUUACUACAUUCUUAUUGUUGCUCCUCAGUGAGUUUCCGUAAUUCCUUUUGCGGUAGGAUAUCAAGACAAAGUCAAAAUGCUUGUAUUUUGGGGUGAUUAUCUGUUUUUUACAAAUGCACUUCAGAAAGCAAAGAACCAAAUAAUAGCAAGCAAACUGUUACAUAACCUGAAGCAGUUGAUAUUUGAACGAGGACCAGCCAAAUCCACUGCUUUUCCAUAGAAGCCCAGCGCUUAAAAUUGGAUAAAGGAAAUUAGUUUAUGAGCCUAAAGGCAAGAAUCCUUUUUAUUUUUCUGCAGUGGGUAAUGAAUGCCAAGUGCGGAACAGGUGCUUUUAUGAAUAUUAAAUGGUGGUGCUUUUUAAACAAAACAAAAAAAACCCCUUUAUUAUAUUGUAGGAGGAUAAGAUUUAAAACAAAAGGACAACUGUUAGGAAUAAAAAUGCUACUGAUAAAAACAUUAGUCCUGUGUUUUAGUGCUGGGCUGAAUACAUUCCCCUCUCUGCUGUCUUUUUGCAGCAUGAUUCAUCCCUUGCUAAAGUGGGGAGGGGAGCUAAUCAUCAAUUUGGGGAGGAAAUUAAUGCAUUUUUUAAUUUUUAUUUUUGGUCUUAACAAUGAAGUGGCCUGGAGUUUUAUCUUCCUUUCUGAAGCAACCCAAUACGCCUUGCUGUCAUUUUCCACUAGUAAUAUAGUGACUCCAGCUGUAAUCCUGGGGCAGGUUAAGAAUCGAAGAAGAGAUUGCUAGAUCAGGCCAGUGACCCAUUUAGUCCAGCAUCCUGUUCUUACCAUGGCCAACCAAGUUGCCUGUGGGAAACCUUCAAGCAGGACAUGAGUGGAAGAGACAUUUCCCCUCCUGCAGUUUCCAGCAACUGUUAUUCAGAAGCAUCACUGCCUUCAACCGUUAAGGCAGAGCAUAACCAUCAUAGCUAGUAGUCAUUGAUAGCCUCAUCCUCAAGGAAUGGCUGCUCCUGGGAACAAGACUAUGUAAUUCCUGGGGGGAUUCUUGGGGAAAUAGGAUUGCUGUCCUCACUGGCAAGGUUUUGUAAAAACACACACACACACACACACAUAUAGAGGAAAAUAGGGAUAGGAACAAGUUCUAGCAAAUCAGUCUCUUAAGCCUAAGCCAAAAAAGAGUAUUCUCUAUAAGACUGACUAUCAAUAUACGUAUCAAGACUUUGAGAUUAGACCACUGAAGAAGCCCGGAAAACUAUCUUGGGAGUGGGCUACCUGCAAGCCCCAGUAAAAAGGGCCCCAUCGGGGGCGAACAGCGGCCUCUUGAUUACUUGGACUGCCAGGGCGAAACAGGUGCAAAACGCCAGCACCUUGUCAUCUACAACUUCAUUAACAUCUAUCUACAACUCCACUAGCAUCUCUUGGUAUUGUGAAUAACACCGAACUUACCUUUUGUUGGUAUCUUCAUGAACUUAUCUAAAAGACGUGAGUUAAGCAUUUGAAAAACCUAUUGAAACUAGACAUUACAAGUUCAUCUUAGGUUGGGUAGUUCGCAAGGCUCUGUGGCUUUGUUUAAUGUUUUGUAUUUUUCUCAGAAGGUCGAUAAAGAAUGUAUAAUCACUUAUCCUCCGUGAAUGGCUGCUCCUGGGAACAAUACUAUGUAAUUCUUGGGGGAAUAGGAUUGCUGUCCUCACUGGCAAGGUUUUUAAACACACACACAUACAGAGAGAGAGAGAGAGAGAGAGAGAGAGAGAGAGAGAGAGAGAGAGGAAAAUAGGGAUAGGAAUAACUUCUAGCAAACUAGGUUUCUAAACAGACUCACAUGAUCCAGGGGGCAACCAUGUUUUUCUAGCAGCCCUGUUUGGUAGUUUGAAGGGUAGCAGUGCUUGGCGAUAGCAUACCCUUCAACAUUUCUCCCAUGAAAAUAGGGACAUCCUAUAUAAUAAUUGUUGUUAUUGUUGUUUUCCUAUUUAUACUUCACCCAUCUGACUGGGUUGCCCCAGCCAUUCAGGGGAGGAUUCCAACAUUUUAAAAAACAUAAUAAAACAUUAAACAUUAAAAACAAAAAACCUUCCCCAUACAGGGCUGCUUUCAGAUGGCUUGGGGGUCAGAUAACUCCAUACCCACCAACGUUUCUCAGAUGAAAAUAGGGAUGUCCGAACUUAC